GGUUGCGAUCAUACCAGCACUAACGCACCGGAUCCCAUCAGAACUCCGAAGUUAAGCGUGC
rnacentral:rRNA from 1 species